GCCAGACUCCUACGGGAGGCAGCAGUGGGGGAUAUUGCACAAUGGGGGGAACCCUGAUGCAGCGACGCCGCGUGGGUGAAGAAGCGCCUCGGCGCGUAAAGCCCUGUCAGCAGGGAAGAAAAUGACGGUACCUGAAGAAGAAGCCCCGGCUAACUACGUGCCAGCAGCCGCGGUAAUACGUAGGGGGCAAGCGUUACCCGGAUUUACUGGGUGUAAAGGGGGCGCAGACGGCGAUGCAAGCCAGGAGUGAAAGCCCGGGGCCCAACCCCGGGACUGCUCUUGGAACUGCGUGGCUGGAGUGCAGGAGGGGCAGGCGGAAUUCCUGGUGUAGCGGUGAAAUGCGUAGAUAUCAGGCGGAACACCGGUGGCGAAGGCGGCCUGCGGGACGAUGACUGACGCUGAGGCUCGAAAGCGUGGGGAGCAAACAGGAUUAGAUCCCCGAGUA
rnacentral:rRNA from 1 species